CCACCUAGCAUAACUAUAGUUGUUUCUCACUGUUUCUAAGUGUUUUUAGUGUGUUUUGAAGUGUUUUAUUGUGUCUUGAAAGAAAAAUACGAAAAUUUGAAAAACAAAAUAGAAAAUGUUUUGAAAAACCCAAAAAGAGUCGUUUUAGAGUCAUUUUUGUGUGUUUGUGUCUUAAGGUAUCUUCCAACACAAUGAUGAGGAUUUAGUUUUUAAUUACAUGACUAUUAAAGAAAGUUACAAACAUGGAUGGAAGUUUGAUAUGCUCUUUGGUUUAUGCUUGGUUGUAGUUGUUGUUUACGAAUUCAGAUGUAAUCACAAAGGAGAAAAUCAGUUUUUGUAACAUGCUUGAAGGAAGGAACUCAAACUAACGCUACAACCCUGAGAGACUUGAGCCUGAACUUUAUUUGUAGAGUUAUUAAUCUGUGAUUUCUUGUUUUCUAAAGUUGUUGCAUGAUCUCAUUAUUCUUUGCUUGGUUACUACUUAGAAUGCGUUUUAUCAUUUUAGUUCCAAAUACUAGAACUCAUUUUUUAUUCCAAAUUCGUAGGAUUUUACCACCUAGCAUAACUAGAGUUGUUUCUCACCGUUUCUAAGUGUUUUUAGUGUGUUUUGAAGUGUUUUAUUGUGUCUUGAAAGAAAAAUACGAAAAUUUGAAAAAAAAAAAAGAAAAUGUUUUGAAAAACCCAAAAAUAGUCAUUUUAGAGUCGUUUUUGUGUGUUUGUGUCUUAGGGUAUCUUCCAACACAAUGAUGAGGAUUUAGUUUUUAAUUACAUGACUAUUAAAGAAAGUUACAAACAUGGAUGGAAGUUUGAUAUGCUCUUUGGUUUAUGCUUGGUUGUAGUUGUUGUUUACGAAUUCACAUGUAAUCACAAAGGAGAAAAUCAGUUUUUGUAACAUGCUUGAAGGAAGGAACUCAAACUAACGCUACAACCCUGAGAGACUUGAGCCUGAACUUUAUUUGGAGAGUUAUUAAUCUGUGAUUUCUUGUUUUCUAAAGUCGUUGCAUGAUCUCAUUAUUCUUUGCUUGGUUACUACUUAGAAUGCAUUUUAUCAUUUUAGUUCCAAAUACUAGAACUCAUUCCCAUUUCAUUCAAAGCUUAAAAUUGAGUGCUAACAUAUAACAAGAUAAAGUUGUUUAGUAGUUACCACCAGAGCCAAAAAGCCUUCAUCCCAUGCAUUUGUUUUGUAGGUUUAACCCCUUUUGAGCCUUUUUGAGCCUAUUUUCUUUGUUAGCCACAUUAUCCUUACCUAGCCUAGAAUAGGACCAUCCAUACCCUUGUUCUUGAAGUGCAGUGGAGCAUGACUUAAAGGGAAUUCCUUUUGAUCAAACAUAUUACAGAAAUCAAGUGUGGGGGAAGGAUAUGUACAAGGGUAGAAAGAAAACAAAACGAGAAGAAAAAAUAGACAAAAAAAAACAUGAAAAAGAAGAAAAAGUGGAAAAAGAAAGAAAAAAAGUUGUGAAAGAAGUGAGAAAGAACUCACAAAUAUUGGUUGUUGAAGAAAGGGUCCAAAAGUUUGAAUAUGACCCUGAAUAUGUACGAAAUCCCCUUAGUGUUUCGAGUUAUUUGCUGCAUUCAAGAGUGAAUUCUAAGUUGAUUUCAUUGCUUUGCUUACUAUUGCUUUAAGAACCUUUGUUUAUCUUAACCUUUCUUUGUUAGCCAAUACCCUUAGCCCUAUUACAACCCUUAGACUUCUAUCUUGGUUGUUGUGUGUUCCAAUCUGUGGAGUUUGGAAUUGGUAUGAGCAUAUGGUAUCCCUGGUUCUCGCGUCUAAGUAGUAGCAUCCCGUUCAUGAGAUCACAUAUAUAUACAUGCAUUAAUAAUUCCAGAAAGUGAUUUCUUUGCUUAAAACAUAUGUGAAUGGCUAGUCUACAUGUUUACAUCAAUCUUCUCACAUAUACCUAGUAUAACGAGUAUAGUCAGAAAUUCUGUGUGAAAAUAAAGUGUAUAUCCGGUGAGGAAUUGAGGGAUUCUCUAAGGCAUGUUACUACAUUCAAAACAUUGUUUUAAAUUGAUUAAAUGCGAGCCCGUGAGUGGUGACCGUGAUUAAGUAUGUGCUCAGGAGUAAGGAUAGCUAAAAUGUUUCAUUGGAAAUCCCUGAGGCGAAUGUUGGAAGGUCUAGGUUAUAUUUUGUUUGUUUUGUUUCCUUUGUUUUGCUCAAGGACUAGCAAAAGCUAAGUGUGGGGGAAUUUGAUAGGAGCAUAUUUAUGCGACUUAGUUAGCAUGUUUUCUUGCAUUUGUGUUGUUAGUUCUUACUUAUUAUAGUGUUUUAAGCUAUUUUCGUGUGUUUGUAGGUCCAAAUGACAAAGUUGGCAAGAAAGUGCAAUUUGUAGCAUUUUGGAGCAGUUUUGGGCAUCAAAUGGAUAGCAUAUGUGGGGAGCACUUGGGAUGGAUAGGAAUAUGCUAAGGAGAUGAAUAAAAUAAAUUCGAGACAAAGAAGAUAAGGAAUCAGCUCAAAAUGAGGAACAUUAUCCAAAACCUUAUCCAACCUUAUCUUAUCCAAACUAACCUUAUCUUAUCUUAUCCUAUCCUCAUCUCAUCAUACCUUAAAUCUAGCUGCAAGGGGACCUAAAUAUCUAUUUCUUGAAGCUAUUUCAAGAAGCAUUCCCUUCUAGAAGUCCUAAUUUCUGCCACAAAACACAUUGUUUAUAGAAACCCUAAAAAGGUGGCGCCUAUUCCCUUAUAGAAGGCCUUGCCUUACCUUGCACUCCUCUCCUUUUCCCUCCAAUUUGUGCCGCACCUUUCCUUACCCUUUUCCCUCAUGGAUUCUGAUUUAAUUAGCAUUUUCCUUGUGGAUUUGGGUUAUGUAAAUCCUUUUCAGAAAUUAACUGGGCCAAACCUUUUUACAGGUGGACUUAUACCUUUAUGUUGAACCCUAGGCGCCCUAAUCCUUGAUUUUUGCUAAGUUCUAACCCUAACCGGAUUCCCCUAGGGUUUGUCGUGCCUUUAUAUACAUAUUUUUAGCACAAAUUCGCACCCCCCCAUGUAAUUCAGAAACACAUUCAGUCGUAAUUCACACCAUUCUACAUCCUUUGCCGCACCAUUGGAGAAGAUGAAGUCUUCCCAUGGCUUCCAUUGGAGAGGGAAGACCUUGUGCGCAAGCCACCUGCAACCAUUGGAGUUCUAAGAGUUCUUUCUUCCCUCGUUUCGUUUCCAUGUUUAUUUUAUGUUGCUUUUCAAUUGUUAUGAACAUGUGGAACUAAUUCCUUUUUAGUUAGAGGUGAAUUCAAAGCCAUGGACAUAUGUUUAAUAUGAAUUGAUUACUUUCAAUUUUUGUUUCAUAAAACAUGAAUGUGAUUUACUUAUCUGUUUGAUUGAUAACUUAUUCUUGUCUAUUGAUUAAGGAUGCAUACUUAGUUUGCAUGCAUGAAUCUAAUGCUAAAUUGUAAGGGACUUUCACCUAAUCGUUAGGAACUUAUAAUUAAAAGUAGUGAAGGUUGCUAGCCACAAUCAUGUCAAGUAGAUUCUUGGCUGGAGUAUCAUGCAAUUCAUAGUUACGAUAGCCUUGUCAAUGCUUAUGAUCUCGAUGGAACUUAAUGAUCUUUGAAUGUAUCUCUAUCAUGCCGUUCAUAUAGGGAACUUGAUGAGAAUAAUUUGGUUGUGAUGCGUUGUCCAUUCAAUUCAAUGAAUUUAGGGAAAUCUGAGAGUUAAUUAGUGCAUUCACGAUUAAUUUGGGGCAUUGUCAUUCACGGUUUAAAGAAACAAUACUGGAAAUCAAUUUAUGUUGCAUAUGUUCAUGUAUGGAGAAGGACCCUCUAACUAGCUUUUCACCCUUGAAUUCACCUUAAUUUCAUUUUAACUUACUUUGUUUGCUGCAAUUUACUUAGUUUUGUCAAAUUCGUCCAAAAACCCCCUUAGUUCUUAGUUGGUGUCUUAGUUUAGUUAAUUUCGUUCAAAUUUGUCCCCAUUUAGUGUUUUGAGUCAAGUUAGUUUAAAGUUCAUCCAAAGCACUCUUUAGUUGUUGUUUUGAGUCUUUUUAACUUAGUUUUGCUGUUUUGAGUCAAUUUGGUUAGUUUUGAGUCAUAAGAGUCUAGUUUGCUGUUUUUGAGUCUAGUUAAGUGUUUUAAAGUUUAAAUUGAGUAGAUUAGCAUUCCUUCUAAUCUCCGGCCUAGAACGACCCCUGCUUACAUAUACUACAAUCAUAGGGUUUUAAUUUGCUUGUUGGAAUAUUUCACGUCACUAUUUUCACUUACUUUAUUGUCAUUUACCUAUGCUUAAGUAUGUAAUCUUGUGUAACAACCUAUCUCUAAAUUAUGAUUUUUAUCAUUUUAAUAAGUGAAUUUACGAAAAUGCCCUUUGAGGAAAUGUGUUGACUUUUGUUGACUACCGUGUCAUGUUAUGCAAGAUUCGUUUUCUUGGUGUAUUAUUGUAGUACUCGUCACUAUGGACGCAUGGGCAUAAAUGGAACGCAAUUUGGAGU
rnacentral:lncRNA from 1 species